rnacentral:tRNA from 1 species
UAUAUUUUAGUGUAAAGUGCAUAAGGAAUUUUGGAUUCUUUGGAUUAUAGUUUAAUUCUAUAAAAUAUAA